rnacentral:rRNA from 1 species
UACGGGGGGGGCAAGCGUUGUUCGGAAUUACUGGGCGUAAAGGGCUCGUAGGUGGCCAACUAAGUCAGACGUGAAAUCCCUCGGCUUAACCGGGGAACUGCGUCUGAUACUGGAUGGCUUGAGUUUGGGAGAGGGACGCGGAAUUCCAGGUGUAGCGGUGAAAUGCGUAGAUAUCGUAAGGAAGACCAGUGGCGAAGGCGGGUCUCUGGACAGUUCCUGACGCUGAGGCACGAAGGCCAGGGGAGCAAACGGG